UACGUAGGGGGCUAGCGUUGUCCGGAUUUAUUGGGCGUAAAGAGCGUGUAGGCGGCCAGGUAGGUCUGGUGUGAAAACUCGAGGCUUAACCUCGAGAUGUCAUCGGAAACCAUCUGGCUAGAGUCCGGAAGAGGAGAGUGGAAUUCCUGGUGUAGCGGUGAAAUGCGCAGAUAUCAGGAGGAACACCGGUGGCGAAGGCGGGUCUCUGGGCCAAAACUGACGCUGAGGAGCGAAAGCGUGGGGAGCGAACAGG
rnacentral:rRNA from 1 species